GCGGCGUGCCUAAUACAUGCAAGUAGAACGCUGAAGGAGGAGCUUGCUCUUCUGGAUGAGUUGCGAACGGGUGAGUAACGCGUAGGUAACCUGCCUGGUAGCGGGGGAUAACUAUUGGAAACGAUAGCUAAUACCGCAUAAGAGUAGAUGUUGCAUGACAUUUGCUUAAAAGGUGCAAUUGCAUCACUACCAGAUGGACCUGCGUUGCAUUAGCUAGUUGGUGGGGUAACGGCUCACCAAGGCGACGAUACAUAGCCGACCUGAGAGGGUGAUCGGCCACACUGGGACUGAGACACGGCCCAGACUCCUACGGGAGGCAGCAGUAGGGAAUCUUCGGCAAUGGACGGAAGUCUGACCGAGCAACGCCGCGUGAGUGAAGAAGGUUUUCGGAUCGUAAAGCUCUGUUGUAAGAGAAGAACGAGUGUGAGAGUGGAAAGUUCACACUGUGACGUAUCUACCAGAAAGGACGCA
rnacentral:rRNA from 1 species